AGAGUUUGAUCCUGGCUCAGGACGAACGCUGGCGGUAUGCUUAACACAUGCAAGUCGAACGAGACAAAAGAGAAGUGCUUGCACGGAUCUUUUAGAAAGUGGCGAACGGGUGAGUAACGCGUGGGUAACCUACCCUAUGGAAAGGAAUAGCCUCGGGAAACUGGGAGUAAUGCCUUAUAAGAUAUAUUUGUCGCAUGGCAGAUGUAUUAAACGCUCCGGUGCCAUAGGAUGGACCCGCGUCCCAUUAGCUAGUUGGUGAGAUAACAGCUCACCAAGGCGACGAUGGGUAACCGGUCUGAGAGGGCGAACGGUCACACUGGAACUGAGACACGGUCCAGACUCCUACGGGAGGCAGCAGUGGGGAAUAUUGCGCAAUGGGGGAAACCCUGACGCAGCAAUACCGCGUGAGUGAAGAAGGUUUUCGGAUCGUAAAGCUCUGUUAUNGGGGAAGAAAAAAAGACGUACCCAAGAAGAAC
rnacentral:rRNA from 1 species